CACAAACUAAGCUCAGUAUGGCAAAAAGGUCAUUUUGCCAAUGACUAAUGUUUCAGGAAGUGAUGUUCAGGGAUCAUGUGAUGUUUCAAAAUGCAACACUAUUUUAAGGAGAUGGACUAUAAAAUAAAUUAGCUGAGGUCAAUGCAGAAGUUAGUAAUGGUUAAUGCAGGAAUAUUGUUUGGAUUCUGGGGAAUAUAACUAUUAUAUUAACGAGAAGAUGUCAACGCCCCCUAGUGGCAGACUAUCACUGGUGCAGGGUCUGGCCAGUCUACUGCGAAACUGUGGAGACACAGUUUUGGAGGGCACCAGCACCCUGACACUCCAAGCUGCUGGCCUCCAGCACCUCACCCACCUGUUUGAGCAGCACCUCCUGUCACGGAAACACCAGCAUGGGUUCCUGGCUCUGCCUUCCCACCCGGCCGACACAGCCUCCAUGCUGCAGGUGCAGUUCCUUUUCGACAUGCUGCAGAAGACCAUCUCCCUCAAGCUUUUUAACCCUAGUGAGUCGAAGAUCCAAUCACCAGUGAAAAUCUUCCCAUUCAAGUCUCUCAAAUACUUGGAGUUGAAGCGGAUCCCCCCACACUGCCUGGAGGGACUGAGAGCAGUGUACUCCCAGCUCGAAGUCUUCAUCUGCUCCAAGAGCGUCCAUUCCCUGGAGGAGCUCAUUUCUUCAUGUGGGGGUGAUCUGAGUUCUGCCUUGCCCUGGCUUGAACUGCACACAUUAAAUUUCAGCUAUAACUCAAUCACUGCACUCGACAACUCGCUGAGUUUACUGAAUGUUCUGAAGUCCUUAGAUCUGAGUCACAAUAAAAUCCAAGAGUGUGCUGACUAUUUACUACCUCUCUGCGAGUUGAAGCAUUUGAAUUUAGGGUACAAUUUUCUAACCGAAGUGCCAACGCUCAGUCCCAGCUGUCGAGCCAAGCUGGUCACCCUGAUCCUCCGCAACAACGAACUGGAGAGCAUCAAUGGCGUGGAGCACCUCUCCUCUCUAAAGCACCUCGACCUGACGUAUAACCUCCUUCUGGAGCACACCCAGCUUGCCCCCCUCUCGCAGCUACACUGUCUCAAUCAGCUUAACCUGGAGGGCAAUCCGCUGUACUUCCAAAGCACUCACCGAGCCACCACUGUCAGACACAUUUCUCCAAAAGCAGCCUUCCUCAAACUCAAGCUGGACGGGAGUACUCUAUCGUUCUCUGAAUUAGCGGUGCUGCCGAAACCAGGUCAGCUGAUUGGCCGGGCUCUGCGAAGCUCCUCCCAGGAAGUGAUAUUGUCCGAGAAGGGAAUCCAAGAAGUGUCUAGUGGAGGAGGCGACAUGAGUGACAGUAUGUCCCAGAGUGAAAGUGGGGCAGCAAGGCUCUCCCGCAAGAAAUCCAAGAGCAAGAUCAAGGUGAGAAGAGCCAGUAUUUCCGAACCCAGUGACACAGACCAUGAUCACAAGAGCCAGUAUACCUCACUCGACAUAGUCUUACGACACCAAAAGGAGAUCGAACAAAUGGACAGCUUCCGUGACCAACUGGGGGAGGACUGGCUGCGCUAUACACACCACCUGCAGGAGGUGAGUGAGGCACAGCCCAAGGCAGGCCCAAGCAGCAGCUCUCUUACAGUAUCUGACCACAGUCCAAACAGCAAGCAAAAAACAGCAGGCAGCCCCAGGAAGAGAAUGCGCAUCUCUCCAGACCAGAGGCUGAACGGAACCCAGGUGACAUCAGAACCUGGAGAGGCAGAGCCUGAGGUAGAGGAAAGUGAGUCUACCCUGGAGUGGGAGGAGCAUAGCCAGGAGGGGGUGGAGUCUGUCCUUGAGGGGUCAGAGCCUACCCUUGAAGAGUGUGUCCUCCAGGAAUUUGAGAGAGAGGCGAUGACUGAAAAAAGAAGAGAGGAGGAGGAAGAUGAAGAGGACGAUUUAGAAGUGGAUCUCUGUCACCCCCUGGUGGUAGGCGUCGUGCCCGACGGGGAGUUCCCGGAGUCGGGCGGCUCGCGGCUCUUCCUCCGGGUGAAGCCUCGGCACGCAGUGGAGGUAGACCUGCAGAGUGCCAGGGUCCUGGCCCGACUGGAGCUCGACAGUCUGAGAGAGGUCAACACCUCCCAGGCCGCCUGGAGAGAAAAGGGCAGGGAGGAAAAUCUUCCAUCACUGGAACUGCACUUCAGUUACAUCAGCAGGGACCGGCAGAGGCGACGCUAUGUCAUGCUGGAUGAGAACCCACAGCAGGCCUUGCAGUCCUUAACAGAGGCCUUCUCUAAGAUUGCGGAGGAGAAUGUGCAAAAGCUCUUGGAGCUGGAGCCUGAGUCUGUGCGCCUGCAGUGCCUGAAGUGUAAGCUGGAGUUUUCGCCAGGAAAGCCUGAGGAGCAGAGGAGGCUUCACUCUCUCAACAAGGCCCGAGGGGAGGAGCUGGAGGAAUGGGCAGAGACAGCUGGCACAGCUCUUGUCUGCCCAGCAUGCACAAGUGACCAUGUGGUCCAGCUCGCCAGCCAAUCAAAACGUUGCACCAGUAGCCUGGUGCCAACCCUCUCCGAAAGGACUUCCAGCAUGCUGCAGAUCACCUUUGUUGACAGCAACCCUCCCACAGAGGAGCAGGGUGCUGGAGUUUGGGCAAAGUCUCCCAUGAGCAGCAGCCCUCGAGAAAACAUCCCAGUUUCGGAGGAUAAUGGGACUGAUGACGAUACGUUGAAGAUGAAUGAACACAGUAACGUAACUGAAACAGACUCGCUUCUCAUGGCUAGAAACCUGAGUUUCUACAUCGGAGAGGAGGAGACGGUGACGGAGGUGGGGCGAGACAGCUGGAGAGAUGAGGGCCACGAAGCUUCGUUUAAUAUCGGCGACUCCCAGCUAGCAAGUUUCUGCACAGCCGACCCCUCAACACCUGUGAACAAGAGGGGUUCCUUUACCAGCGGGACGCCGGGGGAGAUCCUGUGUAAAGGAGACAGUUUGGCUGGGAGCUAUACCAACAGCAUGCUGGUGGUACCUAAACCACCUUCAGAAUAUGGGGAAGAGUCAAGUGAGGCUCAAUACAACCUCUUCACAGGAGAUUUCCAGAGAGUGGAUCACAGACUCAAGCUGUUCUUUGAUGUUGAGGUGUUUGAAGAGGACACAGAGGAGCUGCAGUGUUUCCUGAAGCUGUCAACAGUGAAAUUUGGAGAUGCAGAGGAGGUUCCUUCACUGCUGGUCGUAUCAGACCACUGGAUUCAUGUCUUGGUGAUCUGCUCAGAGAUACAAGGCCAGCCGUCUGAUUGGCUGCGGAAGCGCGAGAGCCAUCGCAUCGCAGAACUAAGCUACCUGGAGGUGGGGCUGGGCAGCCAGAGUAUCAGAGCUGAGUUUGAGGACAGUGGAGCCGCCUACACGCUGCUGAUCCGAGACAGGGAGAAGUGCGAGAGCUUCUUCAAUCUGCUUACAGGUAUUGUCCGUGGAUUUGCCCACAAUUCCGACAGCAAACUGAAAUCCAUCUCAACCACAAGAGUCAAUCCCCAGCACCACCUCUGGCCUUUAUUGUGUGAAAAUGCUGAAUCGGACAUCUCGGAAGACAGCCACCUACAUUUCUUCUAUCUCCUGGCAUUUUUAGUUCAAGAUGGCAGUUUGGCCCCAGUAACAGUGCUGGUGACGCAAGCCACGCUGUACCUGCUGAGUGAAGACCACCAAUGGAGAAAAGGCAUGUCCAGCCAGACAUCCAAUGAGAAUACAGAAUCCAUUAGUGGGACGGUUCACAUCCACGAGACACAGCCAAUCAGCUGUGUUAGUUCAGUUCAUCUCUUCUUGUCCUCCCCCUACAGGGUCGAUAUCAAACUUUAUGAUGAGAUUGCCAAGGAUGAGAAGACAUGGUGCCUGCAGACAGAGAGCCAGGGUCUGGUGAAGGAUCUUGUGGAGUGGGUCAGGACUCAAUGGGAAGCCAUGUUUGGAGUCAAACUCAAUACCACCCUUCACAAAACAGGUUCCUAAGGGAACUGCCAUUUUCAACUUCCCAAGGACAUACAGAGGUGGCAGAAACACUGGUAUAUUUUAGUAGGGGGUUUCCAGUGCUUCAUCCAAUAAAAGCUCCACCAUGCUGAAGGGCAGGGUGAGAUCAAAUCAGGAGCUUUCUGGUUUGAAUCCAGUUUGAAUUGUUGCCGAUCUUUGCUGGGGGAACACAGGGAGUGCUGCAUUUACAUUAGUGCUCCCGUCAGUUGAUGUAAAAUUGUCUGGUCAUAGUUCACCUCCUUGCAUCCAGGCAACAAUUUCCCAAGUUGGGUCCUUUGAAAAGGCUCCAACGCGCUGAAGGGCAGGGCAAGUCAUACAAUUAGGAGCUUGCUAGUUCGAAUUCAGUUUUCAUUGAGUUGACGAUCUUGGCUGGGGACCCACAGGGAGUGCUGCCUUUUCAUUGGUGCUCCUGUGGGUUGAUGGAAAAUCAUCUGGUCAUAGUUCACCUCAUUGCAUCCUGGCAACAAUUUCCCAGGCUGGGUCACUGCACCCAGGCUGUGUCCUUGCAUCCAGGGUUCAGUAGCUUUGUCAAGAAAAGGCUGUCUUGUGAUCUUUAGUUCUCCUGAUCGGUAGGUGGUCAGGCAACACUCGAAUUGUAGAAAAACAUGGGUCAAUUAAUAAACGAUUGAUCAAUAAAUAGAAAACUAUAGUCUUUUGGCCAUUACUAUACAAUACUAUAGUAUUUUUUUUUUACUUGGGAAGACAUUGGUCAACACAUUUGUGUACCUGACCUGAAUUUAUGAUUGAGUGUUUUGAAGUUCCUUUUAAAGCAGAUGUGAUAAUAUGAGCUAUGGGAUUUGAUAACAAAAUCAUUUCAUUCCCCAGCUUCCAUUUGGUCUUCUAAAGUAAUUUUGAAACAGUCCUCAGUGUUCAAUACCCUAAUAACCAGGCAGCUGUUUCAGAGGUUCAAAAAUAUAAGUAGUGGGGAUUGAUUUGACUUUUUGACGUUCCCCCCCCCAUCUGAUUAAUGACGCUGGUCAUGGCUAAAAUGCUAAAAAAAAAAAAUGAAAUUUGCAUGAAUUGUUACCAUCUUUUAUAAUUCGUGUUCGCUAAUUUGUAAAUCCCAUUUUAACAAAAGCACCUCUGGGAAAGGUUCCAUAUCACUUUUGCUUAAUUGGAGUUCGGUAUGCCAGUAAUGGUAAUAUAGAAUGUUUGUUAAAAUAUUGUGUCUUAGAAUUUUGUUUUAUUAUUUCUUGGGGGCCUCAUGGAGUAGCUAUACGAACAGAGCAGGGACGUUUCCUGAAGUUAUAAAAGUAGAGGUAUUUCUGUUUUUGAGAAGGUCCACACAAAAAUGAUUAGGUUGUCUUCAGUUGACUCACCUGGGGAUAAAAGACCAAAAGAGGUUACCACAAGCAGACUGAAGGUGAGAAAAUGGAAAUAAAGCCACAUUGCAAGUACUCCUAAAUAGGAGUGUAUGAGUAAAGCUUAGCAGAGUUGAAAUGUGUCGCUAUGUAGCACCAACACAGAGAAAAUGGCCGCCAAGAUGUUUCAUUGGAAACUAAAAGGGAAACUAGAGGUAUAUAUCAAAAGCAUUUUUCUUUUGUUUUUUAAAGAAGAGAAACAACAGUUUCUAUUACAAAAUUAACAACUUCCAAAAAACCCUAAAUUACAUUUCAUAGUUGUUAUUUUCUAGUUUUAUAAUUUUAAUUUGGUGUUUUUCUUCUUAAAAUAAUAACAAAAACAAGUUAUACUUUGGAAUAAAUAUCUUUGAUAAUAGCCUUUGGCAAUAUUUGGGAAUUGUUAUACUGUGAAACUGUAAAUAAAAAUAAGUAAAUAAUGUAUGUCUUAUAUAUGUAUGUAUUUAUGUAUGGUAUUUUACGAAAUGUCAGUCGUAAACAGUGUAAUUUUUGUAUUAUUAGUUUGCAGAUUGUUUCAAUAAAAACACAUUUUGUUCAUUUGUGUGUUUGUUUAAAUGCCAGUGACGCUACAACUUCCACAUGGAAGAAGUUUAAACUGUUUAAAGUGUAACAUUUUAAAUGCAAACAAGAAAUGACGUCACAUGUUCUUGCAGAGCUAGUAAUCUUUAUUUGUAUGUAUAUUUUAUGAACGGUUUGCAUGCUGUAAGGUCUAGUGUCCCCAUCCAGACUGAUGGUUAAUGUGCUUGGUGAUUUGUAGGGGUGUGCCAAGCCUUGCCUAUUCUAUACAGGAUUGUUGCUGUUUGUUUUUUGCCAGAUUCUCUUCAGUUAAACAGUGCUUUUAAAAAGUGGAAUAAACUUAUAAACAUUAAAAAAAAAAAACAUUUAAAUCAUGAACUGUAAACUUGAUUAAAUGAGUCAAUAUGGGAUUUAGCCAACAUAUAGGAUCAGAUAUGUCUUGAAAUUAAAAUUCAUGUUUACAUGUAUAUAUAUUUUUUAAAACUGUCCAUUUGAGACACAUAAAGUGAAUGUAAGUGCAUGACAGGUAUGACAUUAUUUAGUUGAGUACAUCCACUUUAGCAGCAGUCCUUAAAGUUUUGUGAAUAGGGACACCUACAGUGCAAAGAUGGGUAAUUGUGUGCUGCUUACAAAAUUAUUUUCACCCAUAGGCAAACCACAGGCAAAUUGCCCCCACAAAUUUGCUCACAGUGAACAACCGGGUCCAGAGAAACGUAAUUGAGCCAUGAUUAUAAGAUGAUCACAUUACAUGUGAUAUAUAAUUUAUUUUUUUAUUUUUUAUUAAUGAGUCAGGUCAAAGCACACUGACAUGGAGAGACAAUGCAAAUAAUUUGCAAACACUUGGGAUUUUAAACAUUUGUAAACAAAAAAAAAUUGUUUGUUUUUUAUACUAAUUGUUUUUUUUGUUUUUUCUUUAGAGCUCCUUACGAGGAUGAUAGCAAUGACUACAGUCGGGCACAGUGCUGGCAGGGACUAUAAGAGAUUACCAGCACCAUUUGAAGUUAGCACUGUCCACACUCGGUUUCAAACCCGGGUCUCCAGAGAUUUUCUGAACCUGUAGAGUAUAACCAUUAGGACACCGGUACUAUUGCAUUUAUCCCUCUAUGAUGUCAAUGCAAAGCUGAAUGCUGUAGCCACAGACGAACCCAGGUUUAUUUCUCUGAAGAUACAGGGGUGGGCCCCUUUCCUGUAAAGCCAUCUCACAGGGGCAUGAAAGUCAUGCAUCGACUAAAAAGAACUGGAUUCACAAUGGUGUCUAAAACAUGCUGGGGGUAGGUGUUAAAUUUCACAGCUCUCCAAGAACAGGCUUUGCAAAUACAUUAUUAGGAGCCACGUAGCCAUCUGCUUCUUGGGUUUGCAGUUUAUCUCUGUGUUACAUUAACAAUGCUUGCUAGUCGUGCCUCCCAAAGUUAUUGAAAGCGCCAUCUUAUCCUCUAAAAAGGAUGUCUACGUGGUUUCUUUUAAACACACACUAGCAAGUAUUUAAUGCCUUCUCAAGUUUCAAUACCUUUUAUAGACAAUUGUGUUCAAUGGACAAGAGACCAAAAAAGAGAUGUCGCCUUUCAUGUUUCCAAUAUUUUAUAGCUGAAAAAGUACUUUUGUACAUGUAAUAAAUAAUUUUUUCCAUUGCUUUAUAUGGGGAAAAUGGCAUGCAUGAAAGUGUUAAUACAGCAAGAGUUGAAAUGGUAUCGUGUUGCAUUUAGAAUAUUAACAACUGAUUAUUCUGUACCAACCAGUAAACAUGGCAUAUUGUUGGUCUCCGUCUUCACUGCAUUGCACCUGUCCCCACAAAUGACCAAAUAACAAAACGCUGCUCUCCCAACUACUGGGGCAGGUACACUCAGGACAAGGGAAAUUUGCCCACACCUUUAAUGAAUCUACCACAGGAUAUAUUUUACAGAAACAGAUUGGUCGAUUGUCGCAUUCUUAUCUUUUCCAUGUGUAUCGAAUCCCAUGUAGGCCCAUUUUUGCCAAUUAAUUUUUUUUCUAUUUUGCAUCCAUUUUGAGAGCCGUCUUUAAACAGUAGGUCCUUUUAAUAUGUAUCUGAUAAUGCUAAACAUACUGAAGACCGACGUUGUUUAAAGAUAGUUGUAGAUCAUAUAGUCUUUGUCCUCACAAAUAUAUUGCAAAUGUUGUGGAUAUUAUAUAUUUUAACAGAAAACUAAAUUGAAUUAAAUCUUUAACCUAAUUUGUCUAAUAAUAGAACACUGAAACUUGAUUGCUUUCCAGGCUAGGUAACAAUACUCUUAAAUAUCUAUUUGGGUAUUGUGCGAUCCCUUGUUGUAGUGUCAAUAUGUACUAAUAUUUCAUGGGUAUGUUGUUGUUGAAAACCUUAGUUCUUACUGUAAUAUUUUAACGUGAUAUUAAAUAUGUAACUGUUUUGUGUUAUUUUCAAACAUAUUUUGUUGCAUGCUUAAUAAAUACCACCUUUCUAACAAGAGAUUCCCAGUAUUGAUUCAUUCACUCACGUUGAACAAACACGAUUUAUGGAAUGUGAUCUAUUUUUGGCUUGUUAUAACGUGUAAAUCCGCUAUCGUCUUCAGAGAGCAAUAUUGAAAAUGAUAUAUGAAAAUAAUUAUAAUAGGACGCGGUUAUUGUUUUAAGAAUAUUAACUGUCUACGGCACCCACAUAUUAGCACCCACACGGUGUUCACGUUAAAAGAUGUAUGUAAAGUGAGGAAAAUGACCUGACCAGGAACACAGUUGCAGAAGUGUGCCUACAUACGAUUGGAUACACAUGGGAAAAAUAAGCAAAGCUCAUUCCUGCCAAUAUAUACCCAAUGGUAGCUCCAUUAAAGGUGAAACAGCUUCCACAGUAAAUUCCCCCUUGUUCUUUAGACUAGGAUUCGGGUUUGAUUGCCCAUUUUACCUCAGACCCUUUAAUUGCUUUCUAAACAUCUUGUCCCUUUUAUAUAAUAGUCCAUUUUGGAUCUUUGGAUAAAUACAAACAUUAAAAAAACAA